GCCGCGCGCAGGGCUUCCAAGCCCGAGGCCAGGCUGGAUAACGGGACCCGGAGGCCGAAAGCGGAGCUGGCCGACCUGUUCUACAGUGUCUACUCAAGAAGUGUGAGGACCAGCUAGCUACCAUGCCCAGGAGAGGUUUGACUUCUGGCGGUUUCACCUCUGAUGGCUGCACAACCAAACACUGUGUAUGUGUGUGGCAUAUUUCUUGAAAAGCUUUCUUCAGAUCCUCUGCAUGUUCAUGUCUCGGAGAAGCGUCCGUGGGGAAGGAUUUGGCAUCGUGAGUGUACAGCUCAGAGUUGGUGAAUAGAAUGUGAACAUUGUUAACUUCAUUACACAUCAUGACAUCACAUCCUCCCAGCUUGCCCGUGUUGAAGAACUCCGUUUCUUUCAACCCAGGUCGCUAAUGCCUCUGUUGGAGAAUUGUUUUCCUCUCAAAACAACCAGGGGAUGAGCUGAACUGGUAACUCAGGCUUCCAUGGGCUUCCGGUAGCCCUCUAUGCAGCCUGGCACCCCAACUUUCCACCAGCCGGAAGAAAGCUACACUCCUCAGCCUGAGGCAGGUGCUUUCUUCCAGGCCAUCUUCUACCUUCCUGAAGUGCCUUCUCCUGGUCCUUUGGUCCCUUCCUUUGUCUCAGCUGCAUGUGCAAGAUUUUAUAGAAAGUAAAGACAAUCCUUCCAUUACCAGGGUAUGCAGGGCCCUGGAGGAUGUAUUGUUGGAAUUCUGUGGCUUUCUUUCCUUUAAGAAUGUACAGA
rnacentral:lncRNA from 1 species